GACGAACGCUGGCGGCGUGCUUAACACAUGCAAGUCGAACGGAAAGGCCCUGCUUUUGUGGGGUGCUCGAGUGGCGAACGGGUGAGUAACACGUGAGUAACCUGCCCUUGACUUUGGGAUAACUUCAGGAAACUGGGGCUAAUACCGGAUAGGAGCUCCUGCUGCAUGGUGGGGGUUGGAAAGUUUCGGCGGUUGGGGAUGGACUCGCGGCUUAUCAGCUUGUUGGUGGGGUAGUGGCUUACCAAGGCUUUGACGGGUAGCCGGCCUGAGAGGGUGACCGGCCACAUUGGGAAGGAGAUACGGCCCAGACCCCUACGGGGGGAAGCAGUGGGGAAUAUGGCACAAGGGGCGGAAGCGUGAUGCAGCAACGCCGCGUGGGGGAUGACGGCCUUCGGGUUGUAAACCUCUUUCGCCUGGGACGAAGGGUGAGGGACGGUAAUGGGUAAAGAAGCACCGGUGAACUACGU
rnacentral:rRNA from 1 species